rnacentral:rRNA from 1 species
AGUGAGCGGAUGAACUGAGGGUAGCGGAGAAAUUCCAAUCGAACUUGGAGAUAGCUGGUUCUCUCCGAAAUAGCUUUAGGGCUAGCCUCAAGUGAUGAUUAUUGGAGGUAGAGCACUGUUUGGACGAGGGGCCCCUCUCGGGUUACCGAAUUCAGACAAACUCCGAAUGCCAAAUAAUUUAACUUGGGAGUCAGAAUGUGGGUGAUAAGGUCCAUAUUCGAAAGGGAAACAGCCCAGACCACCAGCUAAGGUCCCAAAAUAUAUGUUAAGUGGAAAAGGAUGUGGCGUUGCCCAGACAACUAGGAUGUUGGCUUAGAAGCAGCCAUCAUUUAAAGAGUGCGUAAUAGCUCACUAGUCGAGUGACACUGCGCCGAAAAUGUACCGGGGCUAAACAUAUUACCGAAGCUGUGGAUUGUCCUUUGGACAAUGGUAGGAGAGCGUUCUAAGGGCGUUGAAGCAUGAUCGCAAGGACAUGUGGAGCGCUUAGAAGUGAGAAUGCCGGUGUGAGUAGCGAAAGACGGGUGAGAAUCCCGUCCACCGAUUGACUAAGGUUUCCAGAGGAAGGCUCGUCCGCUCUGGGUUAGUCGGGUCCUAAGCUGAGGCCGACAGGCGUAGGCGAUGGAUAACAGGUUGAUAUUCCUGUACCACCAUUAUUCGUUUUAAGCGAUGGGGGGACGCAGUAGGAUAGGCGAAGCGUGCUGUUGGAG